rnacentral:rRNA from 1 species
UACGUAGGCAGCAAGCGUUGUUCGGAGUUACUGGGCGUAAAGAGUGCGUAGGCGGUUUUUUAAGUUUGGUGUGAAAUCUCCCGGCUUAACUGGGAGGGUGCGCCGAAAACUGGAAGGCUCGAGGAUGGGAGAGGCAUGCGGAAUUCCUGGUGUAGCGGUGAAAUGCGUAGAUAUCAGGAGGAACACCUGCGGUGUAGACAGCAUGCUGGGCCAUUUCUGACGCUGAGGCACGAAAGCGUGGGUAGCAAACAGG